rnacentral:rRNA from 1 species
UACGAAGGGGGGCUAGCGUUGUUCGGAAUUACUGGGCGUAAAGCGCGUGUAGGCGGGUCUUUUAAGUCAGGGGUGAAAUGCCAAGGCUCAACCUUGGAACUGCCUUUGAUACUGGAGACCUUGAGUCCGGGAGAGGUGAGUGGAAUUGCGAGUGUAGAGGUGAAAUUCGUAGAUAUUCGCAAGAACACCAGUGGCGAAGGCGGCUCACUGGCCCGGAACUGACGCUGAGACGCGAAAGCGUGGGGAGCAAACAGGG